AUGAACGCUAGCUACAGGCUUAACACAUGCAAGUCGAGGGGCAGCAUUGGGAUAGCUUGCUAUCCAGAUGGCGACCGGCGCACGGGUGAGUAACGCGUAUCCAACCUUCCCUAUAGUAGAGAAUAGCCCGGCGAAAGUCGGAUUAAUGCUCUAUGUUGUGUUUUGAGGACAUCUGACGAACACCAAAGGUUCACCGCUAUAGGAUGGGGAUGCGUCUGAUUAGCUUGUUGGCGGGGUAACGGCCCACCAAGGCGACGAUCAGUAGGGGUUCUGAGAGGAAGGUCCCCCACAUUGGUACUGAGACACGGACCAAACUCCUACGGGAGGCAGCAGUGAGGAAUAUUGGUCAAUGGGCGAGAGCCUGAACCAGCCAAGUAGCGUGCAGGAUGAACCUGCCCUAUGGGUUGUAAACUGCUUUUAUCAGGGAAUAAAGUGCGGCACGUGUGCCGUCUUGUAUGUACCUGAUGAAUAAGGACCGGCUAAUUCCGUGCCAGCAGCCGC
rnacentral:rRNA from 1 species